UACGAAGGGGGCUAGCGUUGCUCGGAAUCACUGGGCGUAAAGGGUGCGUAGGCGGGUCUUUAAGUCAGGGGUGAAAUCCUGGAGCUCAACUCCAGAACUGCCUUUGAUACUGAAGAUCUUGAGUUCGGGAGAGGUGAGUGGAACUGCGAGUGUAGUGGUGAAAUUCGUAGAUAUUCGCAAGAACACCAGUGGCGAAGGCGGCUCACUGGCCCGAUACUGACGCUGAGGCACGAAAGCGUGGGGAGCAAACAGG
rnacentral:rRNA from 1 species